GAGUGCCUUUACAAGUGUCCUCAACUCAAAGACGGAGCGAAAUGCAAAACAAGGACAAAAAAAACGGAAUAUGGUGCAGUAUUUUUGAUGCUGGUGAUUACCAGCUUGGACAGUACAAUCCCCGUUGUGGAUAUGCUGAUCUUGAUCUUAUAUGGAAAGGUAUCCUUAGGCUAGUCAGCAGCGAGUGGUGGUCAGCGUUUGUAGAAGUGGUCUCUUUCAAUGGUCCAUUUUAUCACAGUGAGACUUCACCAGCGUGUAAAAUGAAAGUCCAAGUGCAUAUCUGGAAUUGAUUUCGAACUCCAGAAGAUUAUGCCCAGU